UAUUCCUACGGGGCGCAGCAGUGGGGAAUAUUGGGCAAUGGGGGAAACCCUGACCCAGCGACGCCGCGUGAGGGAAGAAGGUUUUCGGAUUGUAAAAUUCUGUCCUAUGGGAAGAAACAAAUGACGGUACCAUAGGAGGAAGCCCCGGCUAACUACGUGCCAGCAGCCGCGGUAAUACGUAGGGGGCGAGCGUUGUCCGGAAUUACUGGGCGUAAAGAGAGCGUAGGCGGCACUACAAGUCUCAUGUGAAAUACCCGGGCUUAACUUGGGGGUUGCAUGGGAAACUGUAGAGCUUGAGUACAGGA
rnacentral:rRNA from 1 species